GAGGGGCUCCAGCCCUGGGAGCAUCUCUGUGGCCUCCUCUCAACUGAAUAAUGAAACUAUUAACAAGCACACUAAUCUGGACACGUGUUGUGGCACUGAUGCAGCCAUGAGAAGUUCCUGAUGGAACCCAUGGAUGAAUUCAGCAGCUGCUGCAUCAUUUGGUCUGGUUUGGGGCAUUUGUGCCUUGAGUUGUUGCUCAUUUCAGUUCACAUCUCCCCUCCUUCCCUGGUAUAGCCAGGACUCUUUUCUCUCAACAGUUUGAGAAACUUGUGAACAGCUGAAGAGGAGAGACAGAAGUAAUUAUGGAGAUUUGCAUAGAUCUUGCAUUUCCCAUGGGAUUUAAUGUGAAUUUUUGUGCUCUGUGUGGUGCAGGUGAUAAUGGGGAAGGAAAGAGUGGUGACAGAAAUCCAUGUAAAGCAGCAGAAUACAUUUGAGGAGGUGUGAAUUUCAAAGAGGUGUUGUAGCAGUGAAAAUGCUGCAUACUCGUGUUUGGCUUGCUGGAGAAGGAAUUGCAGGUGCAAAUGCUUGGAUAUGUAUUCCAAGUGAGAUUUGGGCUUCCUGUUAUUUCUGGGCUUUUUUUUAAAGCUGACCCAUAUAUCAUUUCAUGGAUUAGUAAGAUUUUUUUCCUACUCAGUUCUGUGAAUGUAUCAGUGACUCCUGUUCCAUUUUAAUUUUCAUGGUUGUUAUUUCAUUUUCCGUAAUUAAGUAUGUGGCUUCCAUAAGAGACACUAUCUCUAAACUGCUGGUGUUGUGUGGCAAUUCCAUCUUAUGUGAUUUUAAUUUGCAGGUUUUUUUAAAAUACCUCUUGCAGUUAAUUUUUUAUUGCUUAUAUUGUGGUGGCCUUGGCAGUGCUGGGUUAACAGUUAGACUUGAUGAUCUCAAAGCUCUUUUCCAGCCUAAAUGAUUCUGUGAUUCUUUAUUAUUGUACAGGUUUUCCAGUAGAUAGAAUCAGUGUUUACAGGCAGGAUUUGCUGUAUGUAACUCAGGUGCCUUUUACUCAGGCUUAAGUGAGUAAUUUAAUUUCAUUCUCAUGAAAGCUGAAUGCUGUUUGCACAGAUUAAAGGAUAAAGAAAUACUUUUCCCUGCAUUUCAGCCCCCACAUAUAUGUGAGUGGAUGCUUAUCACAGACAGAAGGUAUCAGCCACCAGUUUGUACUGGGAGACAGCUUGGUAUAAAUAACAAAUCCUCUAAUUAAAAGCCAACAGAUCCUAUUUGACUUAUUUUAGUCCUCAAGCUGGGAUCAGCCUUUCUCUCUUGCUAUGGCAUGGAGCAUCCUUUGUUUAACAAACACCAAGGGGGAAUCAAGUGAGGGAGGAAAAAACAGCCCUUCUGAGAGGCUGCAGCCGUGUGCAAGUGUUUGAAGUUGUUAUUUUAAGAGCUUAUUUUAGCGACUUUUGAGCUGAGCAUUGAGAAUAUAUAGAGCAGCAUUUAGGGAAAAUGCUAAUGUGGUGGUGGCUUCCUUUACCAUGAGCUGCAGCUCUGCCAGAAAAGCUGAAAUGUGCCAUUUAAGGAACACCGAAGCUUUGAGGGAAGUUUGAACUCAGCUGGAUUUAGAAACUUGCUGGAGUGCACCGGAUGCUGGGGGAAACCAGAACACACUUUCUGGAUUGUCAGACCAAAGGCAGGAAGGUUCCCACAAAGCCCUCCUCCUUGUGGAGCUUCUGUUUCUUAUUUAGAUUUUGUUUUUUAAUACCCAAAAAGCUUUUAGUGGUGUUCUGACAAUGGGGGCCUGGAAAUUGGGCUAAAUUAAAACAGGUUUUGUUUGUUUACUUAGAAGUGCUAACAGACUCAGACAGUCCCACUGCAUUUUCAGGGCUUACAUCAUUCUAAAAUAGAUUUAAUAGAUUCAAAACAAAUUUGAUAAUGAAGUAACUUCCACUUGGUGUGUUUGCAUCUAUUCCAAAGGAAAAGCUCAGCCUUGUGAGGUGUGCUGAACUGCAUUUGAUAUGAAAUAGUAAGAAGUUUAUUUUAGUUGCAGGAAAAUUUAAGAGAACACGAGGAAUAAAUGAACCAAUUGGAAGAUGGGAGACUAAAUGCAAGAGAAGUUGGGAACCUGAUCCUCAGGCCAGAGUCUGUCCUGAAUUGCACUGCUACGAGCUGAAGAGCACAGAAUUCCAUUCUAAGAAUGCAGGUUCUUGGUGGAUACACUAAAUCUACUUGAAGAACCUUAUGCUCCUUGUGGGGACUGGGACACCCCCUUAUCCAGCAGCCUCCAGGCAGCCUGAGCCAUCCUGGAUGAUGAUUAUGAUCUUCAAGAUUCCUUCCAACCCAAGCCAUCUUUGUGAUCCUUGGGCAUAUGGAACCAUCAGCUUUGUAAGGAGCAAAGAGGAACCACAGCAGGAUGCUGGAUGCCAACGUUUGUGCGCAUCCAAGUAAAGGUCUGUUCAUUCCUGUUUACAGUGUUGAAGAUUUACCAAUAAAAAGGCCUAAUUAGAAGACAAAUUAGAUUUUUAAUCACUCUGUUGCAAGAUAAAAAGCAUGGAGAUACAUAUAUAUAUAUGAUGUGUAUAUAUAUGCCUAUGUGCUGAAAUGAAUUCUCCAAUCCUCUAGUGGUUUUUUUAUUUGUAAUUAAAAAAUCUUUGUUCAGAAGAAGGAAAGAUCAACAUUUGUUUCAGCAGUGGUCAGUACAUUCUCUUCUCGUACCCUGUGCACCUAAUUCACCAUUUCCAGCCCCCAGUUCCCAAAUGCUUGCUUCCUCUUUGCCAUGGCAGAGUCCUCAGUCCUGGAUUGUUCUGAGAUCAUGGAACACAUUUUAAUCUCAAAAUCAUGGAACACAUGGAACACAUUUUUGAAGACAAAAACCUCAUUUCUGAGCUUGGAACUACAUGAAAUCUGCCAUGAUCUGUAGAAUAUCUCUACCUUGAGUUUUGGUGCCAAGGUUCAGCAAGGAACUGAGUAUUAAGCAACAAUACAUAUAAAAUCACAGACAAGAUGCUGCAGUAAUACCAUAAAAUCCUUCUCCAGUUCCUGCUUUCCUGAUCCACUUGGCAUAAAAUGUCUUCUUGACUUCUACUUACUAUUCUAAUAAAAACCACGGGGGUUUCUUCUCGCUGCUACUUGUUGUGUCAAAGAUCCAGUAAUUGGUACCAUGUGAAUUAACACUUUGCAGUGACAGAACAGAGUGCACAAACCACACUGAGAAAUGGGGUUCUGGAAAAUCACUUCAGCAUUUCAAUCUCUGGCAAACAUCAGGGCUGGAAACCCACAUCAAGUAGCUUAUGUUAGUCCUGCUGGUAACCACCUAUAUGAGUAUUUACAGCUCAGAUGUAAUCAUGAUAAAAAAUUAUUAAAUUGUUAUAUUUUUGUGAAAAUUCUGUUGUAUCUUCAUACUGGAAUUGUUUUAUCCUUGGUUUGCAUGUACUCCCUUGCAAUAUUAUACGCUUGUUAUAAUUUUAGUUAUUGGUAACAUGUUUAGCUUAGUUUGGUGCACUAAAAAUUGAGUCUGUGGUUCAUGAUAUUGACACUGUGAAACACAGUGAACAAUUAAUGACAGCAGAAAAAGAAUGAAAAAGAAAAAUCAGAGUCACAACACCCUGCAAAGUCUUAUGGUAUAUUUUAAGAGAUUGAUAGAAGGGCUUGAAUUCUCCAGCCUCCUGUGGGUUACCUUUACUCUCCAGGCUACUUGGAUCAUCUUCUCCCUGAUGUCCUUGACUUAAUUGAGCUGUAGUGUGAGAAACACUUGUUCAACAACUGCAGGCGCCGGCGCCGCAGGGGAGCCCUUCAGCUGGGCUGGAGAGGGAGGGCUCUGGGAUUCUCCAGGCUGCUCAAUCCAGCCCUCAACACACAGAGCUGGAUAAUGCCUUCUUGAAACCCCUCAGGCACUGGGUAGGUCUUUUGAUUGGAAAUCUUUUUGAACUAGAGUCACCUAUUGCAGCUCUCAGCCUUGCUGUUGCAUAAAAGAGGCCUUCAAAUUUCCCCCCUUUUGUCUGACAGGAUCCUUUUUUCAGCAGUCAGCCUACAUGGCCACAAUUUAAUCAUUUAAGGUGACAAAAAAACCUGACAAUGGGUUCUCAAUUCUAAUGGAGUCAUUUUUAGCUGGUAUUGUUAGAAAUGAAGUUAAAAAAUGAACACAGGCUUUCAAACUGGAAGCAACCGGGUACUUUUAAGAAGCUGUUCUGGAAAACUGGCUGAGCAGUGCUAAAGAAAGGGAAGGAAAUUUCAGUGUUGUCAAGACAAGUUACUUUAAUCCAGUAAAAUCAGGACUGUGAGAGCAAGAACUCUGUAGCUGGACAUGGCAACUUGCUGGUUCCAGACCUGGCCCAUCACUUAAUCACCUCAUCUUGGUUUCCGCUGGUUUUGGUGCUGGAUGAGGAGUAUCUAUGAGUAAGGCUGAAUAUACCCAUGAUAUGGGAAAAACGAGAUGGAGCAGCAGUUUUGCUGCUGGCAGGUGUCACUGAGAGCUUCCCGUGGCACUUGAGGCUGGGGCACUGACUGUGCAGUUCUCUUUGCCCUCCCAGUAAAUCCAGUCCAAACUGGUGACCCAGGGAACAAACAGGGAACUUUGGAACAUUCAAAGAGAGAUGUUAUAGAAAGCCCAGAAACCAUGGCUGAGAUAAGAAUUUAGCAGAGGGAAUUUUUCCACAAAAACCUCCAAGAGAUUUACAGUUGUCAUGUUUUUAGCUUGGAAAAUACAAUCCAACUCUCUCAUUUUCAGGUCUCUGACCAUUAUCCUCUGGUCUCAGCAGAAGAGGAGAGGUGUAAUUAACAGAUUCAUUAAUGCCAGAGUAAUAAUUAUGAACUGCAGGAGUGGCAGGAAUGCUUAUUGUAGAACUGAAUUCUGAUUUUUCAGAACUCAGGAGAAACGUAGGGAAAAGUAAAAAAAUUAGUGAAAAAUAUUAUUUAAUCUGAAUCUAAAAAUGCCAAUAUGUUUAAAAAAGAGGAAAUGUAGCAGGUAGCUUACACAGUGUGUCUGUACAUAAAUUUCAAUUAUAACAGUACUUAAAAUUAUGUAUUUUUAUUUCUUUCCUUGCCACAACAUUAUCAGAACCUGUCUGCUAUGAAGGGCACCAGGGCGGAGGGUUUGGGGUGGCACCAGGGCUGCGG